UACCAUCUGUUGUGUUCUCUUUGACUUGUCUCAUCUGCAGCCCAUUGUGCAACAAAACCCUCAGGACAGAGAGAGGAUGGGAAGGUAGAUCCUUCCUUGCGAGUGGGGGAGAAUGCAGAGCUGGGAGAAGUUUGUGAAACAGAGGCGGAAAGAAGCCCCUAUUGAAGAAGGGUGCAGUGCUGGGCAUGGAAGGAUCCCACAGCCAGAGUUGAAGAGAUGAGAGCCACUUCUCUUAGGAUGCUGAGCAGUCUGGGAAGUCUAAAAGUUGCUGAAAUCAAGACAGUACUGGACAAAAAGCCCUGCUCUAUAAAAAAGUUAAUACAGCCAGGUCUCAAAAUAUUGACUUUCCCAAAGACAGAAAUUCUGGGAUAGCACCAUCUCUGCAGCAAUGUGGCCAAUAUCUGCAUUAUUUAUUUAGCCUGAGGAAUCCCUGUGAAGGAGCUGAAACAGAGGGACACAGG
rnacentral:lncRNA from 14 species